UCUCAAUUUCACGCACUCUCUCACCGGCCAGAGAGACGAGAGAGUGUGGCAAAUGAAGAGA
rnacentral:pre_miRNA from 1 species